UUGGUAUUUUUAUAAGCCCAAUCUAUGGGGCUGGCUUCUCAUCCUCCUGCUUUCUACCCCUUCAAGUCCCUGCACAGAUAACCACAGAAUAGGGGAACCCAGGAGAAAGAGAAAGCUGGGGAAAACAGCUGGCUGAUGUAGCGGCCCCAAGCAGCAAGAUGGACCCUCUGACAGAUGAGCCUUGUGACCAGAGACACCAUUAUCAGAUAAGAAAACUUGAAACAUAAUACAGAUCAAUAGACUGGGGUUCAGAAUAUUUUAGUGAUUUUGAAGAGGAACAGCACCCAGCUUUCUGAGGGUGAGCAGAACAGCGUGUGAGCGGAGUGCAAAAAGGAAAAGAAACUGAGGAAAAGAAACCAGCCCCAGAAACCAGCCCUCAUAUUUCUCAACCAACACUGAAUGGUUGACCUGAAGCAGCCUUUUCUGAAGGAAGUUUUCACAGAACACUGAUUUCACUGGAUCUGAACAGUAUUUGUGUAAUUGCCAAAUACAGUUGGAGAAUACUGUGAUCACCAAAGGUAUUGUUAGCACAGUUACUCAAGA